GGUGCAGUAGCCGCGGGAAAGGCAUAGGUUCCAUAGACCGAAGUUGGCGGUUCGAGUCCGUCCUGUGCCG
rnacentral:tRNA from 1 species